rnacentral:lncRNA from 1 species
AGAGAGAUUCGAACAUGAGGAAUGACUAGUUGCUUAAGCAUUCACGUUAGGGUCACACAAUCAAUUACCUCUUGAAUGUAUUAUCUCUAUUUCCAAUAUUUGAACACACAAGGAAACUACAAUCUCCUCCUUCACAUUAUCAGUCUCUUCCUUACAACAAUUCAGUCAUACCAAUAACUGCUAUUUCCACCAAUAUAUUCACCCUCAUAAUCUCCAACUGUAAUACUACGCCCUCAUAGCUUUCAGCACACAAUUAUCCUCGUUCCAAUCACUGGAAUUCUUCACACAGAACUGCCAUUCAUAUUACAAUGUUUCAUACAAACACAGACUCAUUCUUUUUGCUGAACUACAAUCAGAUUUGAGCAUUCA